rfam:Novosphingobium tardaugens NBRC 16725 DNA, contig: NT204.
GCACUCGUAGCUCAGCUGGAUAGAGCGCUGCCCUCCGAAGGCAGAGGCCACAGGUUCGAAUCCUGUCGAGUGCG